UCAAGAGUCAAGACUCGCGAGGAGGUUGCGAGAGACGAUCAUGGAUGGCUCACAGUUUCAGCUUUCGGACGAGACAAAUCGGAGCCAACGAUUGCAGUUCUAAGCACGACGUUUCGUGGGUCUGAGGGGUUUCGAUAUCAAACAAGCAAUGUAAAACAACCGGAUAAUACUCUGAUUAGACCAAGAAAAUGUUCUUAUUAGCUUUUCAGUGUUAAGGGAUAUCUAAGAACAAUCUCUCCUCAACUGCAAACUAUGAAGAAACUGAAGCAUGAGAGGCUAAAGGUUUUGCAUUUGAGGCUCAUUGUCCAUCGAUAUAUGUCAAUUUGGAACCCAAUAUUAACAAGUCCAACAAAAUGGGGUCAGGUGGGAGCAUGGAAGGAAUAGAUCCAAAGAAUCCUCAAGGCGCAUGCCAAACUCCUUUGUAUAUUGGACCUCGUGAAUUGCACGUGCCACUUUAACACUAUUAUGUGUGGUUUUAUUUGGACAUGUUCAUGUGCCAAAGCUUCAAUGAUGGUUUCAACUUCGAAGAUAUGAGGGAUCUAUAUAUAUAUAUAUAUAUAUAUAAAGCAUGCACAUGCAUGUAUUUAUGGACCCAUGUUACCUAUUCCAAAUACAUUGUACGUAGGUCAUAUAUCAAUUGAUGUACCAUUCAAAGUGUUGAUCAAUGCUAAUGAGUGCGUAUGUAUGCAUAUGCCUAUUCAUGUGGUAA